UCGAGAUGGAAACACAUCGAGUGAUUCAGAGAACUCACAAAGCGAGCGGUGGCGGGUACCGCUGCGAGAUGACUAUCCCGGCCGUCGCCUCAUCCCCUCCAGGGAGGGGCACGGGGGGCACGACCAGGGAUGGAUGAAAGACAAAUCGAGGCAGCACCGCGCCAAGGGAAAACUAAAAGGCACGGACCCUGCAUUGGGCUCAGAGGCAUGGGGUUCCAUCGUGCUCCAUGCGGAUGGACAUGACUCUUAGUAAUGGAUAUCUUGGUUCUCGCAUCGAUGAAGAGCGCAGCAAAAGAGAUAUGUGGUAUGAAUUGUAGAAUCUCGUGAACCAUCGAGUCUUUGAACUAAAGUUGCGCCUGAGGGAAACCAGCUGAAGGCACAUCCGCCUGGGCAUCAAGAGUCACAUCUCUUCGUGCUAACUCUGUCCCCCCGAUGGGUGCAUGUCAGUCGAGGCACGGAUGCGCAGGGUGGCCCUUCAUGCCCUUCGGUGUGGUGGGCUGAAGAGCCGGUCGUAAUCUCGCUAGCUGCAGGCAACGAGGGGUGGGUGAAAGCUGUGAGCAUAGCCUGUGUUGUCUCAUGCGGAGCAUGAGAGAAUGACGGUUCCCCCUAGGCAAUCCCGACCCACACGUCGAUCUACAUGCGACAGCUUGGAAU
rnacentral:rRNA from 1 species